rnacentral:lncRNA from 1 species
CUGAACCUCACGGUAAAUUUCUUCUCCACAAAAUAUAAGAUGCAUUCAGCUGGUUGUCCCAGUCUUCCAGAGCACAUGAGAGUCCAUAUUUGUGCACUGGAUGAACUUCCCUGUUAUACAGGAAUUGACAGGGAUGAGUGGGAAAAUAUUUGUGCACUGGAUGAACUUCCCAGUUAUACAGGAAUUGACAGGGAUGAGUGGGAAAAUAGGGAAGAAUGUGAGAGCAGUGAAGAAUUAACAGAUGAAAUAUCCACAAAUUCUAACAGUUCUUUUAGUAAUCAAGACAAAGACG